rnacentral:rRNA from 1 species
GACGAACGCUGGCGGCGUGCUUAACACAUGCAAGUCGAACGGAAAGGCCCUGCUUUUGUGGGGUGCUCGAGUGGCGAACGGGUGAGUAACACGUGAGUAACCUGCCCUUGACUUUGGGAUAACUUCAGGAAACUGGGGCUAAUACCGGAUAGGAGCUCCUGCUGCAUGGUGGGGGUUGGAAAGUUUCGGCGGUUGGGGAUGGACUCGCGGCUUAUCAGCUUGUUGGUGGGGUAGUGGCUUACCAAGGCUUUGACGGGUAGCCGGCCUGAGAGGGUGACCGGCCACAUUGGGACUGAGAUACGGCCCAGACUCCUACGGGAGGCAGCAGUGGGGAAUAUUGCACAAUGGGCGGAAGCCUGAUGCAGCAACGCCGCGUGCGGGAUGACGGCCUUCGGGUUGUAAACCGCUUUCGCCUGUGACGAAGCGUGAGUGACGGUAAUGGGUAAAGAAGCACCGGCUAACUACGUGCCAGCAGCCGCGGUGAUACGUAGGGUGCGAGCGUUGUCCGGAUUUAUUGGGCAUAAAGGGCUCGUAGGUGGUUGAUCGCGUCGGAAGUGUAAUCUUGGGGCUUAACCCUGAGCGUGCUUUCGAUACGGGUUGACUUGAGGAAGGUAGGGGAGAAUGGAAUUCCUGGUGGAGCGGUGGAAUGCGCAGAUAUCAGGAGGAACACCAGUGGCGAAGGCGGUUCUCUGGGCCUUUCCUGACGCUGAGGAGCGAAAGCGUGGGGAGCGAACAGGCUUAGAUACCCUGGUAGUCCACGCUGUAAACGGUGGGUACUAGGUGUGGGGUCCAUUCCACGGGUUCCGUGCCGUAGCUAACGCUUUAAGUACCCCGCCUGGGGAGUACGGCCGCAAGGCUAAAACUCAAAGGAAUUGACGGGGCCCCGCACAAGCGGCGGAGCAUGCGGAUUAAUUCGAUGCAACGCGUAGAACCUUACCUGGGUUUGACAUGGAUCGGGAGCGCUCAGAGAUGGGUGUGCCUCUUUUGGGGUCGGUUCACAGGUGGUGCAUGGCUGUCGUCAGCUCGUGUCGUGAGAUGUUGGGUUAAGUCCCGCAACGAGCGCAACCCUUGUUCACUGUUGCCAGCACGUUAUGGUGGGGACUCAGUGGAGACCGCCGGGGUCAACUCGGAGGAAGGUGGGGAUGACGUCAAGUCAUCAUGCCCCUUAUGUCCAGGGCUUCACGCAUGCUACAAUGGCUGGUACAGAGAGUGGCGAGCCUGUGAAGGUGAGCGAAUCUCGGAAAGCCGGUCUCAGUUCGGAUUGGGGUCUGCAACUCGACCUCAUGAAGUCGGAGUCGCUAGUAAUCGCAGAUCAGCAACGCUGCGGUGAAUACGUUCCCGGGGCU